rnacentral:tRNA from 1 species
GCCCCGUUAGUUCAACUGGAUAGAACGUCAGCUUCCGGAGCUAGAGGCCAGAGGUUCAAAUCCUCUAGGGUUCA